AUGUUUGCAUUCACACGAUUCUGUAAACAUCGUGAUCAUCAUCCUUAUCAUCAUCAUCAUCAUCAUCACCAUCAGCAGUCAUGAUCUUCCCUUUUCUCCUGCUGGGUGUUGCCUGCCUGCAGUCAUUCACAGUGGCCAACAAUGUAGAUGGAGUAGAAGAAUGCUGUUUCAUAUUUGCCAAGGUUGUAAUCCCUGUGAGAGUCAUUCAAGACUACAGGGAAACAAGGAUUGACUGUACACAUCGUGGAGUCAUUUUUUCCUUAUUUAAUGGUCGCAGGGUGUGUGGCAACCCCAGUCUGGACUGGGUGCAACGAAGAAUGAAGAAAAUUGACCAACGGCAGUUUGAAAAUUCAACUGCACCAGUGAAUAAAUCUUAAUUAUAUUUUCUGCAAUGCGCCUUUCAUCCAUCUAUAGUUUGUUGCUUUGCACAGAGGUAUAAAUAUCAUCUUUGAACAUAAACAUUUGCUUUAAUGAUUUUGGCACUAUAUCACUGAUUUGAAAUGCAGGCUGUUGGCAUGAAUUCAUUUUAUUUGUUGCAUUAAUUCAUUAAAGUACAUUUGUAUUCCUCAUUAUCAUAUUUUUUCUGUUAAAUAAACUCACAUUUGAAAAGGAAA